UAGCCUUUCGCAACCAAUCUUGCC
rnacentral:siRNA from 1 species